GAUGAACGCUGGCGGCGUGCCUAAUACAUGCAAGUCGAGCGAACGGACGAGAAGCUUGCUUCUCUGAUGUUAGCGGCGGACGGGUGAGUAACACGUGGAUAACCUACCUAUAGGACUGGGAUAACUUCGGGAAACCGGAGCUAAUACCGGAUAAUAUUAUGAACCGCAUGGUUCAAAAGUGAAAGACGGUCUUGCUGUCACUUAUAGAUGGAUCCGCGCUGCAUUAGCUAGUUGGUAAGGUAACGGCUUACCAAGGCAACGAUGCAUAGCCGACCUGAGAGGGUGAUCGGCCACACUGGAACUGAGACACGGUCCAGACUCCUACGGGAGGCAGCAGUAGGGAAUCUUCCGCAAUGGGCGAAAGCCUGACGGAGCAACGCCGCGUGAGUGAUGAAGGUCUUCGGAUCGUAAAACUCUGUUAUUAGGGAAGAACAUAUGUGUAAGUAACUGUGCACAUCUUGACGGUACCUAAUCAGAAAGCCACGGCUAACUACGUG
rnacentral:rRNA from 1 species